rnacentral:rRNA from 1 species
GAUGAACGCUAGCGGCAGGCCUAAUACAUGCAAGUCGAACGAUACCAGAGAGCUUGCUUUCUGGGAAAGUGGCGCACGGGUGCGUAACGCGUAUGCAACCUACCUUAAUCAGGGGGAUAGCCUCUCGAAAGAGAGAUUAACACCGCAUAAAAUCACACUUCGGCAUCGAAGAAUGAUCAAAUAUUUAUAGGAUUAAGAUGGGCAUGCGUGACAUUAGCUAGUUGGUAAGGUAACGGCUUACCAAGGCUACGAUGUCUAGGGGAUCUGAGAGGAUGACCCCCCACACUGGUACUGAGACACGGACCAGACUCCUACGGGAGGCAGCAGUAAGGAAUAUUGGUCAAUGGGGGCAACCCUGAACCAGCCAUGCCGCGUGCAGGAAGACGGCCCUACGGGUUGUAAACUGCUUUUAUACGGGAAUAAAUCUCGCUACGUGUAGUGAGUUGAAUGUACUGUAAGAAUAAGGAUCGGCUAACUCCGUGCCAGCAGCCGUACGG